rnacentral:rRNA from 1 species
UGGAUAAGACAUGCAAGUCGAACGCUCAUAUAAUGGCAGCAAUGUCAUUGUGUGGGAGUGGCGCAAGGGUGCGUAACAUGUGGGUAAUUUGCCGUGAAGCUGGGGAUAACCCCGAGAAAUCGGGGCUAAUACCGGAUGUGGUUGUUUGGGGGCAUCCUUGAACAACUGAAGCUGGGGACCGGAAGGCCUGGCGCUUCACGAUAAGCCCGCGGCCUAUCAGCUAGUUGGUGAGGUAACGGCUCACCAAGGCGAAGACGGGUAGCUGGUCUGAGAGGACGACCAGCCACACUGGAACUGAGACACGGUCCAGACUCCUACGGGAGGCAGCAGUGGGGAAUUUUGGACAAUGGGCGCAAGCCUGAUCCAGCAAUGCCGCGUGCAGGAUGAAGGCCUUCGGGUUGUAAACUGC